AUGGCUCGCGGUGAUCAUCAAAACGAUGAUGAUGAUUUCAUGGAUGCACCGCAGCAGAAUCGGGCAACUGGACGGAGAAAAGACGGCGAUGAGAAGAAGAAACGUACUCGCAAUAGGGCCUCGCAGGAACGCCUGACUUCAUUGACCGACAGAUUUACCGACGAUCAGAAGGGAGCUGCUGCUGAGAUGGGUAUGCAGGCUCUGAUGGAUAUCCGGUGCAAGAAUCUAGUGAACCCUGUAUGCGACUGGCUUGGUGAGAUUUACGACCCCGCCUCCAGGGAAUUUGUGAUUCCGGGACGUGGAAGACUGCCGUUGGACGAGGAAUCCGUGUUCUGCACUUUGGGUGUGCCCCGUGGAGAAAUCAAAGUCCCGUACGAGGUCAUGACAACCCAUGGCGAGGUUUUUAUGAUGGAGCUACUCAUGUACCUCAUCUCAGCUGUUUUCGCGCCGACCACUUCUCUUCGCCCAAGCAACAAAUGCUUCCCCAUCCUGGCGAAACUGAAAGAUGUGAAGAACAUGAAAUGGUGUAAGUUCAUCGCCGACUUCCUACAUGAUGCAUUCUCAAACAAGAUGUACCAGAAGAGUUGUCGACUGCAUUUAAUGCUCAUGUACGUCGACUGUCUUGAUCUGUCUACCGUGGACUUCACUGGGAUAGGAGGCCCGCCGCCAACACACAAGUUUGAUGUUUCUGCGUGGACUUACGAUGUUGUCAAGGCUGUGCUUGCUGCAGACAGGGUAACUGAUACCAAAUAUGGAAAACUGCAGCUGAUGGCCAAGCAUGCUAUAGACUACAGCGUGUUUGGGGGCCUCAAAACUUUGGAAAGUGGAUGGACGUGCACUCAGCUCCGUCUUGCCCUACUGAGGUGA
rnacentral:rRNA from 1 species